CUUACCGGGCCUCGCUUCCCCCAGCCCCUGCACCGGGCCGGAGCAAGAGGUUCCGGAGCCCUAGUGCGGGUGGAUUCUGGGGUGUAGACGCUGCUGACCAGCCCACCCCAGCCAAGGUUCUCCGCACCGCCUUGAGAGCUUCAGCUGCCCCAGGGUGUGCAGAUUAGAAUCCCAAGAAAAUCAAAUGGCAUCCGGGGAUUUCUGCGCACCUGGAGAAGGGAUGGAAAUACUUCAACAGGUGUGCAGCAAACAACUUUCUCCUUGUAACCUGAGUAAAGAAGACUUGUUACAGAACCCAUACUUCAGCAAGCUUCUCCUGAAUCUCUCACAGCAUGUGGAUGAGAGUGGCUUAAGCCUCACCCUGGCAAAGGAGCAGGCUCAGGCAUGGAAGGAAGUUCGACUGCCUAAGACAACAUGGUUGAGGUCUGAGAUUUUACAUACAGUCAUUCAAGAGUUGCUUGCGGACUACUAUGUGAAGAUACAAGACACAAAUGUAACUUCUGAGGACAAAAAGUUUCAUGAGAUCCUUGAACAGCAGCUACUUGUAACCAAACUGAUGCGACUCUUAGGUCCUAGCCAGGAGAGGGAGAUACCUCCACUGCUGGGGAUGGAGAAAGCGGACCUUCUGGAACUCAUGCCACGCUCAGGAUUUUGUGUGGAGGGCUCAGCUACAGCAAUAAGUAGAGGAGCAGCUCAGAAAGAAAUGUUUCACUCUGCUCUACUACUAUGAUCCCAGUUCAGAUGCUGACAGUGAAACCGUGAAGGCAGCAAGGGUGUGGAAACUCGCAGAGGUCCUGGUGGGUGAGCAGCAGCAAUGCCAGGAUGCCAAGAGCCAACAGAAGGAGCAGAUGUUGCUGCUGGAGGAGAAGAGUGCUACUUACUCCCAGGUGCUUCUCCGCUGCCCCACUUUGCUGCAGAGGCUUCUUCAGGAACACCGGCUAAAGACUCAAUCCGAGCUAGACCGCAUCAAUGCCCAGUACCUGGAAGUCAAAUGCAGGGCUAUGAUCCUUAAGCUGAGGAUGGAGGAGCUAAAGAUUUUGUCUGACACUUACACUGUUGAGAAAGUGGAAGUUCAUCAUCUGAUUCGGGACCGUUUGGAGGGAGCCAUUCACCUACAGGAGCGGGACAUGGAGAAGUCAAGACAGGUCCUGAACUCCUAUGAGGUGCUUGGGGAGGAGUUUGACAGGCUGGUGAAAGAGUACACCGUACUCAGGCAGGCAACGGAGAACAAGCGGUGGGCUCUCCAGGAGUUCAACAAGGCCUAUAGUUGAGCUCUGGCAGGGCCAGGAAACAUGGCUUCUGCACAGCUGCUGCCUCCUAAUCUUCCUGCUAGUAGGACCACCUUCACCUGGGGCUGCCUUCACUACAAGGGAGUGUGGAAACGCUUAUGCUUACUUGAAACACUGCGGUCAUUU